UACCUGAUUUUUUUGUUAUAUUAUUCUAAAGCUUUUAUCUAGUUUCUUUUUUUUUUUCCUUUUUUAUUAAAAGCGAAGACACAAACACACAUUAACCUAGUCUUGCCAGGCACUGUGGUUCAUAUCUGUAAUCCCAGCACUCUGGGAGGUCAAGGUGGGAAAAGGCCUCCUCCUCUUGAGGCCAGGAAUUUGAGACAUACCAGGACAACAUAGCAAAACCUUGUCUCUACAAAACAUUUAAAAUAACUGGCCAGGUAUAAUGGCAUGCACAGGUGGUCAUAACUACUCAGGAGGCUGAGGUGGGAGGACCGCUUGAGCCCAAGAGUUUACGGCUACAGUGAGCCAUGAUCACUCCACUGCCCUUCAGCCUGGGCAACACAGUGAUACCCUGUUUCAGAAAACAAAAAUCAAAACAUCUGGGCCUGCACAAGGUCAAGAUCAUCAGUAUCACUGUCUUCCACCUCCACAUCUUGUACUACUGGAGGGACUUCAAGGUCAGUAACACUCAUGGAGCUGUCAUCAUGUAUGAUAACAACGACUCUUGGAAUAACUUCUGAAGGAUCUGUCUGAAGCUGUUUUACAGUUAAUUUUUGUUUUUUAAUAUGCAGAAGGAGUAUACUCUAAAAUAACUAUAAAAAGUAGAGUAAAUACCUAAACCAGUAGCUUAGUCAUGUAUUAUCAUUACCAAGUAUUAUGUACUAUACAUAAUCAUGUAGGCUAUAUUUGGUUAUGCAUACUAUAUGACUGGCAGCUCAGUAGGUUUGUCUACAUCAGCAUCACCGUAAACAUGUGAGUAAUGCAUUGUGCUCUGACAUCACAAUGGCUAUAUCACCAGGCAAUAGGAAUCUUUCACCUCCCUUGUUGACUGAAAUGUGCUUAUGCAGCACAUAUAUAAUAAAAAUGAUAAAAGGCUACUCUCUUUAGAAGGACAGACAACAUGUGAGUUUGGACCAUUAUAGGUCAGAUGUGCCUUGAAUAGAAUUUUUAUUUUAUUUUUUUAUUUUUUUUUUGAGACAGAGUCUCCUUCUGUCACUAAGGCUGGAGUGCAGUGGCACGAUCUCGGCUCACUGCAACCUCUGCCUCCCAGGUUCAAACAAUUCUCCUGCCUCAGCCUCCCGAGUAGCUGGGACUAUAGGUGCGUGCCACCAUGCCCGGCUAAUUUUUUUUGUAUUUUUAGUAGAGAUGGAUUUCACCGGUUGACCAAGUUGGUCUCGAACUCCUGACCUCAAGUGAUCCACCUGCCUCGGCCUCCCAAAGUGCCAGGAUUACAGGUUUGAGCCACUGCCCCUGGCCUUGAAUAGAGAUUUGAAGGAAAGAUGCAGCCAAGGGGAUGUUGGCAAGUGAAACAAUCCAUAUUUAAAGGUUAGAGGGAUGAAAUGGAAGUGAGUUCUGGAAGUUUGAUGGAGGCAAGUCUGUGGAAAGUUUCAAACACUAAACCUGUGCAAAUGAAUUAUCUUCAAUUUUUGUAAUUUGUUUUUAUGCAAUAUAUUUUCUGAAUAUAUGAGUGAUGUAACCUUGAUGGUAUUAUAGGAAGUUGACAUUUCAGGCAGUCUUACUAAUUAAAUGUUAUUAAUUCAACAUCUGUUAAACAAAUAUUUUUGGGUGCUAGUUGCCAGACUCCAAAAUAAUAGCCAGAGAAAAUAAGUGACCACGAUAGUGCCUCAUGCAAAGGAGACAUUCUACAAAUGUGUUGGGAAUGGAAAGCAGAUAAAGAUGUGAUCGAGAUGAAAGAGAAAAAUGGCAUUUGGAAUUCUCCCUUCAGAGAUCAAAGUUAACAGUAUGGUGAUACGGCAUCCAAGGAAGACAGAAAUAACUGAUUUCAAGACAGCGAAAUUUCUACAAUUUACCAGUUAUUUAAAAGCUAGCAAACAAACAACGGCAUACUCACCUUCAUCUGUUGGGGGAAAAUUAUUUUUUGUCAUUGCUCACUUCAACAUGGGCGCAAUGAGAGAUAAGAGACACUAAGAAAUGAGUGUAGAAAUGAAUAUUUUUGCUCAUUCUGCUAGAAAAUAUAAUACUUAGUAGAAACAGAUUCCUGAAUUGCUACACUUUAAACAUGCAAUCACAUUUUACUAUUAUAUGCUAUACACAUACUCUAAAUGUUGUAAGCUUAAUAUUUCAGAUUGUAUAAGAGAUUUUGAGGCAUGUUAUUGUACAUACAAAUAACAUAAAUAGGGUUACCAUCCUAAUCCAAGGGUUACUUAGAAAAGAAACCAAUACUAUUUUUGAUAUAUUAUUAAUGACAUUGUCUUCUGACAACAUAAUUUCUUAUACACACUGCUUUUACUUUAAAAAUUGUUUCUAGAUAAACAUAAUGUUUUUUCCUCUUUUGCUGUUUUUUUAUUUUUGGAAAAAUUAAAGGCAUCUUUAUGUUUAUUCUUAGAGAUAACUCAGCUUCAUCUUGGCCCACUUUCAAGUAAAAUUCAAAUAAAUUAAUUUGAGGGAUGUCAAAAUGUCUACCAGCCUAAUAACUUAACAACCUCUUAAGAUGCCAGUGGGUUAGAAUAAAAGACCUACAUCGAAGGGAAUGAUGGGGAACAUGGCAGGAGGGAAUUUUGUCUUAAUAUCCUUUCUUAGAAGCAUGCUUUCUGUGCUCAGCUGCAUAGAAACAACUGGCUUCAGGGAGCUACCUUUUACUCAAUCUUUAGAACAGUAUUAUUCAUUCAAUUGCAAUGUUGACUAUUGUAUAUACAAUUGACAUAAGGCCUCAGGACAUUCAGUCUUCUGUUACGGAAUUUAUGGAAUCUGAGCUCUCCUGCUGGGAUCAAGACACCAUCUGUAGGAACUGGUAUUAUGAACCCACCUCUGGGUUACUUUAGAUGGAGCCACGUGGCUCUGGCUCCUAGAUCUCAGCUGUAUCCAUGGCUUAUGCUGAUUUUCCACCUAUAGGGGACUAUGAAAAUUCACUUGUCUUAAUUUCAGAGUGAGACAUAAGUAAGGGUGAUUAGAUUGAUAGCAUCUCCAUUACCAAAUCAAUCAGUCCAUGGCUUGUCAGCAUUCUUUCUAGGGUUUGCAACUUGUCUGAGGCUCAGUUCACUCCUCUAGGAAAUGGAAUGAAGUGAGGGAGGAUAAGAUCAGGCUAUGAUGUGUGGGCCUUUCUCAACAUUAAAGUAGAUCAUUCCCAUCAUUUGAAUUCACUAUUAUGAUUUUAAUUAAAACCUUUGUUAAUAUCUAGAUUGGUAUCUUAUAAAGACAUAGAGAAAAGGAUGGGUUCAUUUCAUCUGAAAGGUUAGGGUUUUCUUUGGUUUGAUAUGUUUAGCUUGGCUUUUAAAAUUCUUGAACAGACUUUAUUUCUGUUCUUAAUGUAUUUUUUCUAUUUUAAUUAUUCUGGCUUUU
rnacentral:lncRNA from 10 species